CUCUGGACGUUUAGCUAUUGGUAGAGCUGUCCGUGGAGGCGGUGCAUUUUGGAUGCUUCUGUUGAGGCCUCCUCCUCUUCCUCCUCCGCUCUCCGCUCUCCGAUUCACUCGUUGAGUUCUAUCUCCGCUUUUCCUGGCGAUCUUUUGACCUUCUUUUUUUGGGUCACGAUCUUCCUCUCUUUUGUUGCCUGGAUGGUGACCUGUGAUUACAUGACCGUCAAGGGGAAUGCGUUUUGCAAGAUGUCAGACGAUUACAUCAGGAGGCACCAUAUGCACGAUGUCAAAGACCACCAGUGUAGCUCCUCUCUCGUUAAACACAUCAAAGCUCCUGUUCAUCUCGUGUGGUCUUUGGUUAGGAGAUUUGAUCAACCGCAGAGGUAUAAGCCGUUUGUUAGUAGGUGCAUUGUGCAGGGAGGCCUUCAGAUUGGAAGUGUUAGGGAGGUGAAUGUUAAGUCAGGACUUCCAGCUACCACUAGCACUGAACGAUUGGAGCUGCUGGAUGAUGAAGAGCAUAUAUUUAGGAUGACCAUUGUUGGGGGAGAUCAUCGGCUUAAGAACUACUCUUCAAUCAUUACUGUCCAUGCAGAGGUCAUUGAUGGGAGACCAGGGACAGUGGUCAUUGAGUCAUUUGUUGUUGAUGUGCCGGAUGGGAACACCAAGGAUGAAACAUGUUACUUUGUUGAGGCUCUAAUCAAAUGCAACCUGAAGUCACUGGCUAAUGUGUCGGAGCGUUUGGCUGUGCAAGACCGAACUGAGCCCA
rnacentral:misc_RNA from 1 species